rnacentral:rRNA from 1 species
AACGAACGCUGGCGGCAGGCUUAACACAUGCAAGUCGAGCGCCCCGCAAGGGGAGCGGCAGACGGGUGAGUAACGCGUGGGAAUCUACCGUGCCCUACGGAAUAACGCAUGGAAACGUGUGCUAAUACCGUAUACGCCCUACGGGGGAAAGAUUUAUCGGGGUACGAUGAGCCCGCGUUGGAUUAGCUAGUUGGUGGGGUAAAGGCCUACCAAGGCGACGAUCCAUAGCUGGUCUGAGAGGAUGAUCAGCCACAUUGGGACUGAGACACGGCCCAAACUCCUACGGGAGGCAGCAGUGGGGAAUAUUGGACAAUGGGCGCAAGCCUGAUCCAGCCAUGCCGCGUGAGUGAUGAAGGUCUUAGGAUUGUAAAGCUCUUUCACCGGUGAAGAUAAUGACGGUAACCGGAGAAGAAGCCCCGGCUAACUUCGUGCCAGCCGCCGCGGUAAAAC